GGUUGUAGCUCAGUGGUAGAGUGCUUGCCUUGCACACAUGAGGUCCUGGGCUCAAUCCUCAACACCA
rnacentral:tRNA from 1 species